rnacentral:rRNA from 1 species
CCUACGGGAGGCAGCAGUGGGGAAUUUUGCGCAAUGGGGGCAACCCUGACGCAGCAACGCCGCGUGAGUGAUGAAGGCCUUCGGGUCGUAAAGCUCUGUCAGAGGGGAAGAAAUGCAGGUGGUGAACAACCAUUCUGUUUGACGGUACCCUCAAAGGAAGCACCGGCUAACUCCGUGCCAGCAGCCGCGGUAAUACGGAGGGUGCGAGCGUUGUUCGGAAUUAUUGGGCGUAAAGCGCGUGUAGGCGGUUUGUUAAGUCUGAGGUGAAAGCCCCGGGCUCAACCGGGGAAGGGCAUUGGAUACUGGCAGACUUGAGUACGGGAGAGGGAAGUGGAAUUCCCAGGGUAGGAGUGAAAUCCGUAGAUAUUGGGAGGAACACCGGUGGCGAAGGCGGCUCCCGGGACCGAAACUGACGCUGAGGCGCGAAAGCGGGGGGAGCAAACAGGAUUAGAUCCCCUUGUAGU